rnacentral:misc_RNA from 1 species
GAUGAAGAACGCAGCGAAAUGCGAUACUUGGUGUGAAUUGCAGAAUCCCGUGAACCAUCGAGUCUUUGAACGCAAGUUGCGCCCGAAGCCACUAGGCCGAGGGCACGCCUGCCUGGGCGUCACACGUCGUUGCCCCCCCAUCUACUCCUUCGGGAUUGCGGGGGGGCGGAUGAUGGCCUCCCGUGCGCCUAGCCGCGCGGUUGGCAUAAAUACCAAGUCCUCGGCGACGCACGCCACGACAAUCGGUGGUUGCGAAACCUCGGUUGCCCGUCGUGUGCGUUCGUCGCGCAUCGAGGGCUCGAAAAAAUGCUCGGCUUCGGCUCAGCUUUCAACGCGACCCCAGGUCAGGCGGGGUUACCCGCUGAAUUUAAGCAUAUCAAUAAGCGGAGGA